rnacentral:rRNA from 1 species
UACGUAGGGUGCAAGCGUUGUCCGGAAUUAUUGGGCGUAAAGAGCUCGUAGGUGGCCUGUCGCGUCGGCUGUGAAAACUCGGGCUCAACUCCGAGCUUGCAGUCGAUACGGGCAGGCUAGAGUUCGGCAGGGGAGACUGGAAUUCCUGGUGUAGCGGUGAAAUGCGCAGAUAUCAGGAGGAACACCGGUGGUGUAGACGGCUUCUGGACCGUAACUGACGCUGAGACACGAAAGCGUGGUAGCAAACAGG